rnacentral:ncRNA from 2 species
ACUUUCCUUCGGGGUCGGGUGAAAGUCCCAACCGGCGGUGAUGACUGGCGUUAACGCUAGCUAAGUCCGUGACCCGGUUGCAGAAGCAAACGGUGGAUCUGGUGAGAAACCAGAACCGACAGUAUAGUCUGGAUGGGAGAAGGAAAAA